rnacentral:rRNA from 1 species
GACGAACGCUGGCGGCGUGCUUAACACAUGCAAGUCGAACGAUGAAGAAAAGAAUCGAAGCUUCGGCAGAAAUUCAUUUCGGAUUAGUGGCAGACGGGUGAGUAACGCGUGAGCAACCUACCUCUUACAAAGGGAUAGCCUCGGGAAACCGGGAUUAAUACCAUAUAACAUUGUGACGAAGCAUUUCGAUGCAAUCAAAGCUACGGCGGUAAGAGAUGGGCUCGCGUCCCAUUAACCGGAUGGUGAGGUAACGGCUCACCAUAGUGACGAUGGGUAACCGGCCUGAGAGGGUGAACGGUCACACUGGAACUGAGACACGGUCCAGACUCCUACGGGAGGCAGCAGUGGGGAAUAUUGCACAAUGGAGGGAACUCUGAUGCAGCGACGCCGCGUGAGUGAUGAAGGAAUUCGUUUCGUAAAACUCUGUCCUAUGGGAAGAAAAGGACUGUACCAUAGGAGAAAGCUCCGGCUAAAUACGUG